AGGUCUGAUAGUCUAUCUUCC
rnacentral:miRNA from 1 species